rnacentral:rRNA from 1 species
UACGUAGGGUGCAAGCGUUAAUCGGAAUUACUGGGCGUAAAGGGCGCGCAGGCGGCCUUAGAAGUCAGAUGUGAAAGCCCCGGGCUCAACCUGGGAAUGGCAUUUGAUACUCUGAGGCUGGAGUACGGGAGAGGAGAGUGGAAUUCCCAGUGUAGAGGUGAAAUUCGUAGAUAUUGGGAAGAACACCGGUGGCGAAGGCGGCUAUCUGGACCGUAACUGACGCUGAGGCGCGAAAGCGUGGGGAGCAAACAGG